rnacentral:rRNA from 1 species
CCUACGGGGGGCAGCAGUGAGGAAUAUUGGUCAAUGGACGAGAGUCUGAACCAGCCAAGUAGCGUGAAGGAUGACUGCCCUAUGGGUUGUAAACUUCUUUUAUAAAGGAAUAAAACGAGGCACGUGUGCCUUUUUGCAUGUACUUUAUGAAUAAGGAUCGGCUAACUCCGUGCCAGCAGCCGAGGUAAUACGGAGGAUCCGAGCGUUAUCCGGAUUUAUUGGGUUUAAAGGGAGCGUAGAUGGGUUGUUAAGUCAGUUGUGAAAGUUUGCGGCUCAACCGUAAAAUUGCAAUUGAUACUGGCAGUCUUGAGUACAGUUGAGGUAGGCAGAAUUCGUGGUGUAGCGGUGAAAUGCUUAGAUAUCACGAAGAACCCCGAUUGCGAAGGCAGCUUACUAAACUGUGACUGACAUUGAUGCUCGAAAGUGUGGGUAGCAAACAGGAUUAGAUACCCCUGUAGUC